rnacentral:lncRNA from 1 species
AUCAGGGUUGAGGCCAAUUAGUGAAUCAGGCUACCUGGUUACGUUUAGUCAACUUGGUCAUCGUUCACAUGAUAUCCCGAUUGGAACUUGAAUGACUAAUUGGGUUAUUUGCAAGCCAAUUCCCACUUCUCCCUCAUAUAUCAAACAUAGUCUAAUAUAGAUUAUAGUAAUUAGUUUACAUCAGUCCGUACAAGGACGUACAUGUAUUAAACGCUUCAACACAUGGAAUACAAGGCACAUGAAACACUUUUUUGAAGCUGCUAAAUGUUUUCAUUUAAUGAAAAAUGAAUGCAUUGUCCUGAAAAUACAAUAGAAAUAGACAUAAAAUAUAAAUAUGGAUAUUGUGACACUUUCCACAUAAUCAUAUUGCUUAAAGAAAACUCUAGACUGGGACGGAAAAAAUGGCACUUCCAAAGAGCGAAGGUGGAAUAGGGGUCAGGGAUUUCUUUGCAACUAAUGCUUCAACAUUGGUCAAAAGAGCAGAGAGGAUGUGGAGUCCUAAUAACUCCAUACUAGCAGACUAAAUAAAAAAUUAGGUACAUCAAAGGAAGAAACAUUGGGGAAAUAGAGUGUAGGCCUACUCUGGACUCUCACAUGUGGAAAACAAUAUUAGAUAAUAAGGAAACAAUAGGGAAAUGUACGUAUAAACUACCUGAGUAACUAUAGGGUCACACAAAUUGCCCCCUCCAAGCACUCAGAAACAUUAAGGCCCAGAGACAUCUUACAAGAGAUAAAUCUAGGGAUCUGGGCCAAAAAGCCUCCCAAAUUCUCCAUGUUGUUGUGGAGAAUUAAGGUCAAAAGUCUGAACAUUUUAACUAGAUUGUAAAGUUGGGGAUUCAACAUAAAUACGUCCUGCCCACUAUGUGGAAAUGAGAAAGAAAUAUUACAACACCUAUACUUUAAUUGUCAUUACACUAGAUCCUUAUUGCUAAAGUCCACUAGCUGUCUUAAUAAUGUUGUUUGGACACUUAGUGGGCAAAAUCCCCAUCUCCCGCAAUAGAGACAUCAAGAUAGGAGAUAUUAUGGAAACAAUACAAAAAUUCACUCACAAGUCUAGUUGUUGGGGGUACACUAGACUAUGCUAGCAUCCCUUUCCUGGCACAUAUGGUGUGAAAGGAAUAGGAGAUUCAAACAACACACCCUAAGACCUCCAGAAAUUGUCAGCAGAGAAAUUAUAAAGGAUGUGAGCAUUGCAUAUGAAUCUAUAUCCUAUAAAAAACACAAUCUUUCACAGAUCGAAAUACAAACUAUAUUCAAUCCUUGACUAGAUAGUCAGGGUCAUAAAUGUAUAAGAGAUAAACAAUGUUUUUACAUUUAAUGUUUUUACAUUUACUGUACUUGCAUUUUCCUAUAUUUGUAAUCUUAGGGUAUGCCCAACCUUCAUUUUCAGUAAUGAAAACUUUAAUUUUUCAAAAAAAAAAACCUCUUGACUAUCUACCUCUGGACGUUCGUCUCCCAUAUCUGCAUUGUGCUAGUCUCCAAGGGAUGACAACGACAUUUCUUUAAGCACUCAGACUUGAAGGAUAUACUAAUGUCCUUGAUUACCUCUUUCAACACUGUUUCUGGUGGUCUGGGAGUAUGUUGUUUCCAUCUGCGAUUUCUUUUUGCCAAAAUUUGGGAAACUUACCGCAUUUAGGUUUGAAAUCUCAUCUCAUAUUAUAUUAUCUCUUGAUUUUAAGAACUUAUUUUUUUGGCAGAGCUUCUCCGAACUUGAGUAUUUGCUCCUGGGGUUGAUUUCUGUUGUUUCAGUGUUUCUGGUGCCUCUUUUUUUAGUUGGAAAGGUGAUACCGACUCACAUUUUGACUUGUUCAUUUUUUUAAAUAAAUUUCAUGAUUGCUUUUGUGACCUUUAUUUGUAUCAAACUAAACAUGUUUUCUUGUAUAGAGAAGAAGUUGAAAAAGAAAUUUAUAAUAGAAAAUAAAAUCCUUGUGAAAAUAUUUUCAAAGCCACUGUCAGAUAUUUAUAUUUUGUAAUUUUAUUUUAUUUUCUGGUCAUAUUUCUUUUAGUUUUCAUAUGACUUUGUUUUAUAAACAUGAUUACCUUUUCUUUAGUUCAUUCUUACGAACAAAAGCAAGUCAGUAUAUUUGUAUGUGUUUGAAAGCAUGAUCCUAACCAUGCGAUUAACAUUUGAUCAUGUUGCUAAUUGAGGAGUUUAAUAUUACAAAAUACAAUAGAUGUAGUAGAUGGAAUAUGAAUUCCGGCAAUGAAAAGCAAAUGCUAGAUAAUAGAGAGAUACAUUGGUGGCGACACCAACUCAUCGUCGAACUUGAGUCUGCCGCAAUGGUGUUUGAAUCGGAGCUUGCAACGUUGGUCACGAUCCUCUGAUGUGCGCUUGGCGAGCUCCGGUGGUCGGCAUCGUCCGUUGAUGAUCUCUCCAGUGUCUUGUGUCGUCGGCGUGGCUUGAAUGUCGAUGGUUCAUUAGCACCACAUUGUGUGUUGAAGUAGGAUGCAUCAUAGCAUCUUUUGUUAGUUGAAUCAUGGUUGUUUGAUGAACUUAUAUAUCCUUGGAGGAUAGCCGUUGGGAGUGUUGUGGUUGAUCCAGUCAGCAUGGGGGUCCUGCAAGGUGACAUCAUAUAUUGAUUUAAAGAGGAAUAAAAAGAAUUAUGACAUUUAUCAUGUGAUAUUUGAUAGUAUGUUUGAAUUUUUUUUAAAUGCAUAAAGUUAGAACUUAGAAGCCAUUCUCAUAUAGCCAUUCUCACUAAGUUAUGUGGUGCAAAGUAAAUGAUCGGGGAGGGGGGUUCGAGUAAUUUAUAUUGUUUAUCGUAUAAGUUUUAGUCAUUUUCUUUGUAUUCAAUAAUUUAAUUAAAUCAUGUGCAUUUUCAAUUCUGAAAUGGUUAUUAUUGGUUAUUUGUUGUUUUUUCUCUGCAGGUUAUUAUCGGAAGUGAAAGUGGAUAUCCGAAUAAAUAUAAAUUAACUUUCGGAUUAUCUGAAUAUUCAGAUUUUAAGGUGAUUAAUUGAUUAUUAAUUAAUUUUAUUAAUGGUGAUUUUAUAUUUUUAUAAUUUAAUAACGAACCUAAGAUCAGUUGAUCUUGUUGGACUGGACAGUCACCGACGAAUCCAAUGCAAUCUUACUGUCGAGAUAAGUAGAUAAUCCGUUCCCUCUCAAUGCACUAAGAAAUUGUAUUCUCCAGUCAAAGUAAUUAUCACGAUCCAAUGCCACCGUUUUAGGUGAUUUGAUGAUGACGACUUUCGUCGGAGUCUCCAUCGUCACCUUAAUAGCUGGCUCCACAUCCUUCAGUAAUUUCGACAUGAUUGAGCAGAGCACAAAUUAAUCGAAUCGAUAGCAAAGAUGGAUCGAACAAAGUGUUCUCUCAAUCAAUCAGAAUUUUGAUCGAUCUAAAACUAGCGACUGAUACCAUAUUAGUGUUAUGAACAGAAUGAGAUCUUGGGAAAUGGCGGAGAUCAAGUGAUCGAUCCCUCUUAAAAUGUCAUUAAUUAGAUUAUAUACACUUCAGAGAGAUUGAGGUCUAACAGAAUCGUGCUAACUGAUUUGUUAGACUUUAAUCAUAGAAGUUUCUAGAACCAUUAUCUAGCUAAUUACAAUUGUUAUUACAUAAAAUGCCAACUAAUUUUUAUAUCUCUAAUAGUUUCAUAUAUACGAUGUUAGACAAAAUUUCAAACCUCGUGAAUACUAAAUUUCAAAUGAGGUUAGAUGUUAUCUGGUCACGACGAUAAGAUAUUUUACAUUUUAUACUUACCACUGUCUGGUUGAAGGAGAUUUGCUAUCCAAUCAAUAGUUCAUUACAUUCCACAUCUUCUGUUAAUCUGACUUUUAUUAAAGGUCUGUCUGUUAAUGUGUUAUGUUCAACUUAAAUAUUAUGUCUAAGUGCUUGUUGUGUACUUCUUUCUGCACAGGAUUGACGAGAAUCCCAACGAACGCUGGAGCUUAUGGAGAGUGGCUGUUGAUGCACUUGGUGCUGCUAUGCUUGUUACAAUAAUACUUGAUCUGUGGCGAAUAUUUCUAGGUCCUAUAGUUCUUAUCCCUGAUAGGAUGCAGCACACCCAAUCAGGACUGCCAUGGUUUUCGUAACUCAGUUAUUGGCUACAAAGAUGCCUGCAAUUCUAUUUUAAUUCAAAGCUUAAUCUUUUGUAGAUUGUAGUUAAAAUUAAAAACAUUGGAAUAUUGGAUACUUAAUAAAUGCUUUCUUUAGAGCACCCUUCUAGUGAGAACCCACUAUUGGAGAUUUCUCUAUCUUGUCCAAUGAAAAUCACAUACAAUGGUGGUAGUUAAUUUUUUUUUGAAUACGUUACUUUUGUGCCUUUGAUUGAGUUAUAUGUUGAAAUGGGUUAGAUUUGGAUGGUUUAUAGAGAAGGGGGGUUUAUGUUUAUGUUUAUGAUUGCUAGUUUUACGAUUUAUGAUUUGGAUUUUAUUUGAUAGUUGAAAAAUCUGAUCGAGUUAAAGACAGUAAUUAAAUAAAGAAGGUUUUGUUGAAUCAAGUACCAGGAUGCCUGUGUAUGAAACUAUCCCAAAGCAAAGGAAUAAUCUUCCUUUUUAUGUUUUUAUUGGUUCUCACUACAAUAAGCCACCAAACUUAUGUAUUUGUUCAAUUUAUUUCAUUUCAGUAGAAGAAAAUGAAAAAUAUAAAGAAUAGAAAAAAAAACUUUCAGCCGAAAUUCAUAUUCGUAUUUGUUUUCGAAUUCGAAAAUGUCUAUUGGAAUUAAUAUUUUCAGAUUUCAGAUCCAGAUUCAGAUACCAAAAAUGAUAUCGUAAAUUAUCCGAACGGAUUCGAAUAUCUGUAAUAUCUGUCGUUAAAAUUCGAAUUCGAUUGAUAAUUCCGAAUUCGGAUCUCCGAAUAAAUAUAAAUUGACUUUCGGAUUUUCAGAUAUCCGAAUUUUAAAAUGAUUAAUUGAUUAUUAAUUAACUUUAUUAAAUAUAAUUUUAUACUUUUUAUAAUUUUAUUUUAAGGUUUUUAUAAAAAGUUAUCCGGAUUCGGAUUUUUCGGAAAUUUAUCCGAUAUACUUUCAGAAGAAUAUGUCAAAACUUUCAUGAAUAUUAAUUACGAAAGGAGGACCUAUGUAUAAUUUUUUUAAAAUCUGAAACCUUUUGAAUAAAUUAAAUAUCUAAAAUUCAAAUCUCAACUUCUCAGUUCUCCCCAAAACUCACGAUUCUCCCCCAAUCUCUCCUCCUCCCCACCUCACGGGUCAGAUUCUCACGUUCCGACCACCGCCCAAAGACCAUCAGUUGUGGUGCCAAAGCUUACCGGCCACCUCCACUGGCCUUCAAUUCCUUCAGUCCGUCUCCACUCUCCACUCUCCAGUCUCCUCUACUCUUUAGCCUCUAGGCAUUAGGUAUGUCCAUCUAUAUAUCUUAAUCCGUCUAUGUUUAACCUUGCUUGAUCUAUAUAACUGAAUCAGGAUCUCCUGACCUUGGUUCCGAACUUUCCAUUGAUUAGUUCCCCAAUUCUCAUAACAGUUAGGAAAAGGUUCUGUUAUCGCUGUCGCUUUCGCGGAUUCGUAGAUGGGAAUGAGUGAGACUCUAAAUCUCAAUGUUGUAAAAUCUAGGGGAGAUAUUGAUGUUGCUACUUUGACUCAGGAGGUGGACAGUCGCGUUUGAAGAAGAGUGGAAAUGGACGCAGGAAUCUGUGGUUGUCGGAGAACCCGAGCAAGACUUGGGGGGAAGUUUUCUUUCUUAAGUAUACUCCAUUCUGGCUCACUCUUUGUCUUGGUAUCAUUGUCCCUUUCAAGCUCUAUGAGGUGUGUGGAUUUAAGUUUUUAAUUUUAUUAUUCUUCGAAUUCUGUUGUUCAAAUCAGUUUGUUUGGGAUUUCCUUUCCUAAUUGGUCGGUAAUUAGGUUUCCAUAUUUCUGUGUGAGAAUCCUAAAUGAUUUUGGACUCUUAAUAUUUUAAAAUCAUUUGAUGCCAACACUUUGAAAGACAGAUUGACCUAGCUAGACUUUACAGCUAAGCUAGAAAAAUAUCAAGAAUUUAAGUAUUGCAAACUGGAAUCCACUUUUUUGCUGCAGCCUACAGAAUGUUCAGAUGCAUUUCAUGCGGAUACUUAAAAAUUAAAAUACCACUUGUCUACUUACAUAUAAGGUGGAUCGAAACCUGAUUUUCAAACCAUUAUCAAGAAAGUUUGAACGAUAAAUUGACUUAGAUUCUAAAGAGUAGCUAGAAAAACACUAAGAUUAUAAGUAUUAUAAAUUAGAAUCAAUUUUUCUGCUGCAGCAUAAAGUUGUGUAUCUUUUUAUUAGCUUUUUUACAUAACUUUCUAAAGUAGUUUGCAUGCACCGGAAAUGGUUAUAAUGUUUUGAGCCAGAUAACAGAUUAACUACUAGUGUCUAGAAGCUGAUUGCUGCGAAGGUUGUUUAAUUUUCCAUUUAUUGUUUAUAAUGAGUUCUCCAUCAGGGUUGAGGCCAAUUAGUGAAUCAGGCUACCUGGUUACGUUUAGUCAACUUGGUCAUCGUUCACAUGAUAUCCCGAUUGGAACUUGAUUGACUAAGUGGGUUAUUUGCAAGCCAAUUCCCACUUCUCUCUCAUAUAUCAACAAAUGAUAACAUAGUCUGAUAUAGAUUAUAGUAAUUAGUUUACAUUAGUCCGUACAAGGACAUACAUGUAUAAAACGCUUCAACACAUGGAAUACAAGGCACAUGAAACACUUUUUUGAAGCUGCUAAAUGUUUUCAUUUAAUGAAAAAUGAAGGGUAUUGUCCUGAAAAUACAAUAGAAAUAGGCAUAAAAUAUAAAUAUGGAUAUUGUGACACUUUCCCC